rnacentral:rRNA from 1 species
AGUCGAGGGGUAUAGUUCUUCGGAACUAGAGACCGGCGCACGGGUGCGUAACGCGUAUGCAAUCUACCUUUUACAGAGGGAUAGCCCAGAGAAAUUUGGAUUAAUACCUCAUAGUAUGUGAGAAUCGCAUGGUUUUCACAUUAAAGUUCCAACGGUAAAAGAUGAGCAUGCGUCCCAUUAGCUAGAUGGUAAGGUAACGGCUUACCAUGGCGACGAUGGGUAGGGGUCCUGAGAGGGAGAUCCCCCACACUGGUACUGAGACACGGACCAGACUCCUACGGGAGGCAGCAGUGAGGAAUAUUGGACAAUGGGCGCAAGCCUGAUCCAGCCAUGCCGCGUGCAGGAUGACGGUCCUAUGGAUUGUAAACUGCUUUUGUACAGGAAGAAACACUCCCUCGUGAGGGAGCUUGACGGUACUGUAAGAAUAAGGAUCGGCUAACUCCGUGCCAGCAGCCGCGGUAAUACGGAGGAUCCAAGCGUUAUCCGGAAUCAUUGGGUUUAAAGGGUCCGUAGGCGGUUUAAUAAGUCAGUGGUGAAAGCCCAUCGCUCAACGGUGGAACGGCCAUUGAUACUGUUAAACUUGAAUUAUUAGGAAGUAACUAGAAUAUGUAGUGUAGCGGUGAAAUGCUUAGAGAUUACAUGGAAUACCAAUUGCGAAGGCAGGUUACUACUAAUGGAUUGACGCUGAUGGACGAAAGCGUGGGUAGCGAACAGGAUUAGAUACCCUGGUAGUCCACGCCGUAAACGAUGGAUACUAGCUGUUGGGCGCAAGUUCAGUGGCUA